rnacentral:rRNA from 1 species
GACGAACGCUGGCGGCGUGCUUAACACAUGCAAGUCGAACGGAAAGGCCCUGCUUUUGUGGGGUGCUCGAGUGGCGAACGGGUGAGUAACACGUGAGUAACCUGCCCUUGACUUUGGGAUAACUUCAGGAAACUGGGGCUAAUACCGGAUAGGAGCUCCUGCUGCAUGGUGGGGGUUGGAAAGUUUCGGCGGUUGGGGAUGGACUCGCGGCUUAUCAGCUUGUUGGUGGGGUAGUGGCUUACCAAGGCUUUGACGGGUAGCCGGCCUGAGAGGGUGACCGGCCAAAUUGGGAACUAGAAACCGGCCAGAACCCUUAGGGAGGGAGGAGUUGGGAAAAAUGGACAAAGGGCGGAAGCCUGAUGGAGCAACCGCGGGGGGGGGAUGACGGCCUUCGGGGUGGAAACCGCUUUCGCCUGUGAAGAAGGCUGAGGGAAGGGAAUGGGGAAAGAAAGAACGGGCUAAUACGGU